rnacentral:lncRNA from 1 species
GUGUUGAAGAAGAGAAAAGGUUGCAGAGAUGCAUAAAAAUGAAAUCUACAACCCAAGUGAAUCAGAUGAGUGUAGAUGCUGUAGAAGUGGCAACACUCGGAAAAACAGGAAAGCUUUACAAAAACCCACAGAGGUACCUGUACCAUAUGAGAAGAUGCGACAAGACCAGUCAGCUUUGAUAGUACAGGGGCUUCCAGAAGAUGUUGCCUUUAAACACCCUGAAAACUAUGAUCUUGCAACCCUGAAAUGGAUUUUGGAGAACACAGCUGGGAUUUCAUUUAUUAUUAAG